GAUGAACGCUGGCGGCGUGCCUAAUACAUGCAAGUCGAGCGAACAGACGAGGAGCUUGCUCCUCUGACGUUAGCGGCGGACGGGUGAGUAACACGUGGAUAACCUACCGAUAAGACUGGGAUAACUUCGGGAAACCGGAGCUAAUACCGGAUAAUAUAUUGAACCGCAUGGUUCAAUAGUGAAAGACGGUUUUGCUGUCACUUAUAGAUGGAUCCGCGCCGCAUUAGCUAGUUGGUAAGGUAACGGCUUACCAAGGCAACGAUGCGUAGCCGACCUGAGAGGGUGAUCGGCCACACUGGAACUGAGACACGGUCCAGACUCCUACGGGAGGCAGCAGUAGGGAAUCUUCCGCAAUGGGCGAAAGCCUGACGGAGCAACGCCGCGUGAGUGAUGAAGGUCUUCGGAUCGUAAAACUCUGUUAUUAGGGAAGAACAAAUGUGUAAGUAACUAUGCACGUCUUGACGGUACCUAAUCAGAAAGCCACGGCUAACUACGUG
rnacentral:rRNA from 1 species